GCUUCAGUGCUCUGAGAGCCUUUAUAGCUCUGUGACUUUAACACUUCAUGACUGAAAGCUGCUGCUCAGCGACUUCACCCACAGCAACCAUGAGUUUGAUCUUCAUCUUCAUCUGCACACUGGCCCUCUGCACUCGAGGAUCCAGAGGUCAGGUAACUGUGACUCAGAGUCCUGCAGUAAAAUCUGUUUCUCCAGGAGACACGCUCACUAUCAGCUGUAAAACCAGUCCUGAUGUUUACCGCUACAGUGAUGGAGAUGAAGGAAUGUUCUGGUAUCAGCAGAAACCUGGAGAAGCUCCUAAACUCCUGAUCAUAUUUGCUAAAAAGUUACAGUCAGGAGUUCCAGCUCGUUUCAGUGGCAGUGGAUCUGGAUCUGAUUUCACUCUGACCAUCAGUGGAGCCCAGACUGAAGAUGCUGGAGAUUAUUACUGUCAGAGUGCACAUGAGAUCAGUGAUAGCUUGGUGUUCACACAGCGUCAGAGAGUCGUACAAAAACCUCAGUGUGUGACUGCUGCAGCUGGGACCUACUGCAGCUGCUCCCAUUUGGGGUCUCCAUAGCAAAUCAUC